rnacentral:rRNA from 1 species
AUUGAACGCUGGUGGCAUGCUUAACACAUGCAAGUCGGACGGCAGCGCGUUAGUAGCAAUACUGAUGGCGGCGAGUGGCGAACGGGUGAGUAAAGCAUAGGAAUCUGCCUAGAGGAGGGGGAUAGCUCAGGGAAACUUGAGGUAAUACCGCGUAAGACCGUAAGGUGAAAGGGGGCGCAAGCUUUCGUCUUUAGAUGAGCCUAUGUUGGAUUAGCUAGUAGGUGAGGUAAGAGCUCGACCUAGGCGACGAUCCAUAGCUGUUCUGAGAGGAAGGACAGCCACACUGGGACUGAGACACGGCCCAGACUCCUACGGGAGGCAGCAGUGGGGAAUAUUGGACAAUGGGGGGAACCCUGAUCCAGCGAUGCCACGUGUGCGAAGAAGGCCUUCGGGUUGUAAAGCACUUUAGUGAGGGAGGAAGGUGAUGCGGAUAAUACAUGCAUUAAUUGACAGUACCUCAAGAAUAAGCACCGGCAAACUCUGUGCCAGCCGCCGCCGUAAGAC